AUGCGGGCGCUGCUGCGGCGGCUGCACGGCGCGGCCGUGGCGCUGCUGCUGUGGCGGGGCCGGGCUCCGUCCCCGGCCCGGCCCGCCGCCUCCGAGGUGCUGAGCCAGCACCUGCGGCAGCGCCGUCUGCCCCACUGGACCUCGUUCUGCGUCAAGUACAGCGCGGUGCACAACGACCAGUUCGGCCUCUCGCACUUCAACUGGCCCGUGGACGGUGCCAACUACCUGGUGCUGCGCACCGGCUGCUUCCCCUUCAUCAAGUACCACUGCUCCCGCGCCGCGCCGCAGGACCUGGCGCUGCAGGACGCCUUCUUCACCGCCCUCAAGGUGCUCAACGCCGGCAUCCCAACUUUACUGUAUGGACUUGGCUCCUGGUUCUUUGCCCGUGUCACAGAGACUGUUCACACCAGCCAUGGCCCAGUCACUAUUUAUUUUCUAAAUAAAGAAGAUGAAGGAGCCAUGUACUGAGCUGAAUGGCUGUCCUCUGUCCAAGGUGGGUUUGCUGUGAAAAAAGAGCUUUAAAAGAUCUGCUUGAGGCCAGUGCAUUUCCCUGUGAACUGAAGCCUGGAAACUGCUGCAGGGAGGAGGCAGGGAUGGUAAAUUGAAUCUGGUGAACCAAGAGCUGGCACAGAGAUCCUGAUUCCUCCAGGUGUGUUUUACACUCAGGGUCUGAAUUACAGGACAUAGCUGGAAAAAUUCUAGUAAUAAUGAGAUUAUUGGAGAGGCUGAGUAGGAUCCAGAACGAAAUCAGCAUUUUCUGCCUCUAUCCUUCCUGUGCCUUCUUUUCUCCAAGGGGAUGAGUGCAGGACUGGAGGAAUUGGGACUCAGUCUUGGUUUUAAUUCACUGCUGGGCAUUUUCACCCAUCCCACUCCUGAGAAUGAGCUCCCGAAGCUGAAUCCACAUCCUGCCACAGCAAUAUUCAGCAGCAGAGCCAGGGGAGGCAGCUCUUGUUUUCCUCCCUCUUCAUUUUACAGAGUUCUGCUGGAGGGACCCCAAACUCCAUUACGGGCUGUUUGUGGCAGAGCAAAAAUAGAAAAUUUCUUCUGCUGGGCAACUUCCUCUGCAGUGGGAAUUAACCAAGUAAUAACUUCUUCCCUUACUUUUGGAGUCAAUUAUCCUGCUCAGCAAAUCCCUGGGAGACAGCAUUUUCCCAUCCUCACAGAGCCUCCUGCGAGAUUAUAACGAUUUUCCUCCUGACUGUGUCAGCACUCUGGAAAUAAAUAUUUCUUUCCUGGCGUGGCCAGCUCGGGAUGCUCCGGGUGCUCUCCGGCGGCGCUGGGAAGCAGCAGAGAGCAGCAGCACACUGCGAGUGGCAGCACCGAGGGAGCCUCUUCCCCCUGGCUGACAAAAUCCGGAAUUUAGAGAACUUGUGGCCUUCAGCAGGCUGUAAUUAAAGCACUGACACCUCGGUCCUCUGCGGAUUUUGGGAGGUGUUCCCUUGGGGGUGAGCAGUCCUUUUGGAGAUGUGGUUACCAAUGUUGUGGGCUCUGCGUUUAGAGGGGGAAAUCAGGCUUUCAUUAUUUAAAUUAUUUUUAAUGAGGAUUCUGGAAUCCUUGUCCUGGGAAUUCGAACUUUUUACAGAUUCUUGGGCUACUCAAAUGCAAAAGUUCAAUAAUAUUUUCUAUUAAAAAAUCAAGGAUUGUGUUCUCACAACACCAAUUUUCCCCCACCGUGAAAGAAAAAUAUAAAAAUUAAUGUUGGUGACAUCUCAUAGCAAAACUCCUGCAGCAUGAUGAAAUAAACAUCAACUAUUUGCUUCAAAUGGUGUAUUUCAAAUGAAAAUUUCUGAUUAAAGUUAGGUUUUAAAUAAGUCUGUGGCAAAACCAAACCUGUAUCAAUAAACACGUGCU